UACGUAGGGUGCGAGCGUUAAUCGGAAUUACUGGGCGUAAAGCGUGCGCAGGCGGUUUUAUAAGCCAGAUGUGAAAUCCCCGGGCUUAACCUGGGAAUGGCAUUUGGGACUGCAAGGCUGGAGUGUGGCAGAGGAGACUGGAAUUCCUGGUGUAGCAGUGAAAUGCGUAGAUAAUCAGGAGGAAUACCGAUGGCGAAGGCAGGUCUCUGGGCUGACACUGACGCUCAUGCACGAAAGCGUGGGGAGCAAACAGG
rnacentral:rRNA from 1 species